GCCAAGAAGGCAGAGUUUAUGAUUCCAGCAGUUGCUUCAGGAUUACUGUGUGGAGAAGGACUAUGGACUCUUCCUGCUGCUAUACUUGCUUUGGCCAAAAUAAAUCCACCAAUCUGCAUGAAAUUUGUACCUUCCUAGUNNNNNNNNNACCUAUUGAAAAUAAAGAUUCAUGGCAAGGCAAUCCAUGAUUCAGGAUUUGAGUAGAAAUGUACUCUUGCACUGCAACCCAUUAGCAUGCCCUUUUAGUUGCAACUUAAAACAGUUACUGUAGAUGAGUUUUAAAUAGCUCAAUGAUAUUAAAGUCAUUUUUAAGAAAAAAAAAAA
rnacentral:misc_RNA from 1 species